rnacentral:misc_RNA from 1 species
GUAGUAAGCCGCAUGAGUC